GGUUAAGCGAACAAGCGUACACGGUGGAUGCCCUGGCAGUCAGAGGCGAUGAAGGACGUGCUAAUCUGCGAAAAGCGCCGGUAAGGUGAUAUGAACCGUUAUAACCGGCGAUGUCCGAAUGGGGAAACCCGGUGCACUUCGGUGCAUCAUCGUUAGCUGAAUACAUAGGCUAACGAGGCGAACCGGGGGAACUGAAACAUCUAAGUACCCCGAGGAAAAGAAAUCAACCGAGAUUCCCCCAGUAGCGGCGAGCGAACGGGGAACAGCCCAGAGCCUGAAUCAGCUUGUGUGUCAGUGGAACGGUCUGGAAAGGCCGGCGAUACAGGGUGACAGCCCCGUACACGAAGGCACACAGGCUGUGAGCUCGAUGAGUAGGGCGGGACACGUGAUAUCCUGUCUGAAGAUGGGGGGACCAUCCUCCAAGGCUAAAUACUCCUGACUGACCGAUAGUGAACCAGUACCGUGAGGGAAAGGCGAAAAGAACCCCGGCGAGGGGAGUGAAACAGAACCUGAAACCGUGUACGUACAAGCAGUGGGAGCCUUCGUAAGAGGGUGACUGCGUACCUUUUGUAUAAUGGGUCAGCGACUUAUAUUCUGUAGCAAGGUUAACCGUAUAGGGGAGCCGAAGGGAAACCGAGUCUUAACCGGGCGUUAAGUUGCAGGGUAUAGACCCGAAACCCGGUGAUCUAGCCAUGGGCAGGUUGAAGGUUGGGUAACACUAACUGGAGGACCGAACCGACUAAUGUUGAAAAAUUAGCGGAUGACCUGUGGCUGGGGGUGAAAGGCCAAUCAAACCGGGAGAUAGCUGGUUCUCCCCGAAAGCUAUUUAGGUAGCGCCUCGUGAAUUCAUCUCCGGGGGUAGAGCACUGUUUCGGCUAGGGGGCCAUCCCGGCUUACCAACCCGAUGCAAACUGCGAAUACCGGAGAAUGUUAUCACGGGAGACACACGGCGGGUGCUAACGUCCGUCGUGAAGAGGGAAACAACCCAGACCGCCAGCUAAGGUCCCAAAGUCAUGGUUAAGUGGGAAACGAUGUGGGAAGGCCCAGACAGCCAGGAUGUUGGCUUAGAAGCAGCCAUCAUUUAAAGAAAGCGUAAUAGCUCACUGGUCGAGUCGGCCUGCGCGGAAGAUGUAACGGGGCUAAACCAUGCACCGAAGCUGCGGCAGCGACACUAUGUGUUGUUGGGUAGGGGAGCGUUCUGUAAGCCUGCGAAGGUGUGCUGUGAGGCAUGCUGGAGGUAUCAGAAGUGCGAAUGCUGACAUAAGUAACGAUAAAGCGGGUGAAAAGCCCGCUCGCCGGAAGACCAAGGGUUCCUGUCCAACGUUAAUCGGGGCAGGGUGAGUCGACCCCUAAGGCGAGGCCGAAAGGCGUAGUCGAUGGGAAACAGGUUAAUAUUCCUGUACUUGGUGUUACUGCGAAGGGGGGACGGAGAAGGCUAUGUCGGCCGGGCGACGGUUGUCCCGGUUUAAGCGUGUAGGCUGACUUUCCAGGCAAAUCCGGAAGGUUAAGGCUGAGGCGUGAUGACGAGGCACCACGGUGCUGAAGUGACAAAUGCCCUGCUUCCAGGAAAAGCCUCUAAGCAUCAGGUAACAUCAAAUCGUACCCCAAACCGACACAGGUGGUCAGGUAGAGAAUACCAAGGCGCUUGAGAGAACUCGGGUGAAGGAACUAGGCAAAAUGGUGCCGUAACUUCGGGAGAAGGCACGCUGACAUGUAGGUGAAGCCCCUGCGGGUGGAGCUGAAGUCAGUCGAAGAUACCAGCUGGCUGCAACUGUUUAUUAAAAACACAGCACUGUGCAAACACGAAAGUGGACGUAUACGGUGUGACGCCUGCCCGGUGCCGGAAGGUUAAUUGAUGGGGUUAUCGCAAGAGAAGCUCCUGAUCGAAGCCCCGGUAAACGGCGGCCGUAACUAUAACGGUCCUAAGGUAGCGAAAUUCCUUGUCGGGUAAGUUCCGACCUGCACGAAUGGCGUAAUGAUGGCCAGGCUGUCUCCACCCGAGACUCAGUGAAAUUGAACUCGCUGUGAAGAUGCAGUGUACCCGCGGCAAGACGGAAAGACCCCGUGAACCUUUACUACAGCUUGACACUGAACAUUGAGCCUUGAUGUGUAGGAUAGGUGGGAGGCUUUGAAGCGUGGACGCCAGUCUGCGUGGAGCCGACCUUGAAAUACCACCCUUUAAUGUUUGAUGUUCUAACCUGGCGCCGUGAUCCGGCGUGGGGACAGUGUCUGGUGGGUAGUUUGACUGGGGCGGUCUCCUCCCAAAGUGUAACGGAGGAGCACGAAGGUCAGCUAAUCCUGGUCGGACAUCAGGAGGUUAGUGCAAUGGCAUAAGCUGGCUUGACUGCGAGAGUGACGGCUCGAGCAGGUGCGAAAGCAGGUCAUAGUGAUCCGGUGGUUCUGUAUGGAAGGGCCAUCGCUCAACGGAUAAAAGGUACUCCGGGGAUAACAGGCUGAUACCGCCCAAGAGUUCAUAUCGACGGCGGUGUUUGGCACCUCGAUGUCGGCUCAUCACAUCCUGGGGCUGAAGUAGGUCCCAAGGGUAUGGCUGUUCGCCAUUUAAAGUGGUACGCGAGCUGGGUUUAGAACGUCGUGAGACAGUUCGGUCCCUAUCUGCCGUGGGCGCUGGAGAAUUGAGGGGGGCUGCUCCCAGUACGAGAGGACCGGAGUGGACGCAUCACUGGUGUUCGGGUUGUCAUGCCAAUGGCACUGCCCGGUAGCUAAAUGCGGAAGAGAUAAGUGCUGAAAGCAUCUAAGCACGAAACUUGCCCCGAGAUGAGUUCUCCCUGAGACUGUAAGUCUCCUGAAGGAACGUUGAAGACGACGACGUUGAUAGGCCGGGUGUGUAAGCGCAGCGAUGCGUUGAGCUAACCGGUACUAAUGAACCGUGAGGCUUAACCUU
rnacentral:rRNA from 1 species